ACCUGUGGGACUUUGUGGUGCAUAUCAAUAGACAGAGAUUCAUAGAUACUCCAGCUUAUAUCAAAACAUCCCUUCUUCUAACUCCCCUGUAUACACAGAUCCCUGGUCUGUGUUGUUUUAUACGUAACUUUUUGGUGGUGGUUGUUUUUACUGUUGUUUUAGUUUGCUUUGCACUGAAUUACUGUCUGUAUGAAUGUAACCUAGUUAUAUCUAUCUAAAAGUAUAGCAUGAGAAGAAGAAAAUAAUUUGUUUUCCUUUUAAGAUUGCAUCCAUCCCCAAGUCCAGCUUCAGAAAAGUCACUUGUGCCUGCUCAGGACCCUGAACGGUCGCUAACGGAGUACAUCCACCGCCUGGAGGUCAUCCAGCAGAGACUGGGGGGCGCGCAGCCAGGACAAGUUCCAGGCCCACCUCGCCAGAAACACAUGAAAAAGUGAUGAUAACACUUCUGAAGUCUGUACUGUGAACCUCUCCGAGUUAUUGCUUCCUUCAGAGUUGGUCCAUGCCGAAGGGAGGCAGUUGUGAUCUCUUCUGCAACUGAAUAAUGGGCAGUGCUUUUGCGUCCGAUUUUUAUAUGACUCUUUUUAUUAUAUUUUAGUACUGUAAGAGGAAAUAACUUUUAAUUAAGAACAAUAUUUUACAUUCUUGUGUGAAAUUACUACUACGUUAACAGCUGAAGUGUGCCUGCAUCACUGUGUUGUAAGUUGCAAAGUGUCCCUUUGGUGUUUAUUUUUCUAUAGUGUAUAGCUGGAUUCCUUGUAAAAAAAGUAAUUAAAAUGGCAUUUUAUUAAUGAA